rnacentral:rRNA from 1 species
GUGGGGAAUCUUGCGCAAUGGGCGAAAGCCUGACGCAGCCAUGCCGCGUGAAUGAUGAAGGUCUUAGGAUUGUAAAAUUCUUUCACCGGGGACGAUAAUGACGGUACCCGGAGAAGAAGCCCCGGCUAACUUCGUGCCAGCAGCCGCGGUAAUACGAAGGGGGCUAGCGUUGCUCGGAAUUACUGGGCGUAAAGGGCGCGUAGGCGGACAGUUUAGUCAGAGGUGAAAGCCCAGGGCUCAACCUUGGAAUUGCCUUUGAUACUGGGUGUCUUGAGUGUGAGAGAGGUAUGUGGAACUCCGAGUGUAGAGGUGAAACUCGUAGAUAUUCGGAAGAACACCAGUGGCGAAGGCGACAUACUGGCUCAUUACUGACGCUGAGGCUCGAAAGCGUGGGGAGCAAACAGGAUUAGAAACCCCGGUAGUCC